CAACGAGCCUGGGGCUGUACGAGAGAGGACUUUCCCAGGAGGAAGCAGCCUCACCUAGGGAGACGCGCACAGGUACCCAAGGAGCAGAGCGCAGGCCUGCCACUCUCUAUUCAUGGAGUUUGUAAGUCAGCGUGACGGCCCAUUGACUGAGGAUGUGUGAUUUUGUUCCCCUGGACGCCGAGGUCAGUACAGUACCAAUGCACAAUGCAGCAACACACCUACCAGUCUCCAUGGAUUCUUGAAACACAGGAGGUCCAGAAGAUGGGAGAUCUGGUGUGCUACAGAUGAGCAGUUGCUGUGUGGACAUGCAGGGGAAACCUCCACGUCAGUCCAUGUGGUGUACAUCUGAGAGAAAACCUGAAAGGCCACAAAUCUGAAUGUCUAACAUGACCAAAGCUCACCACAGAAUCCACAUGGUGAAGUCCUGACCUUCAGUAUCCUAGAGUGUGACCUGAUUUGGAGUUAGUCUCUAUGGAGGUAAUCAAGUUAAAAUGAGAAUAUUAGAGUGGGCCCUAAUUCAAUAUGACUGGUGUCUUUAUAAGAAGUAGAAAUUGGUAUGCAGAUAUGUGAGAACACCAGUGAGAACACCAAAGACCAAAGUUAUGCUGCCACAAGCCAAGGAACUACCAGAAGCGAGGAGAGAGGCCUAGAACAGAUUCUUCCCUCACAGCCCUCAGAAGAAACCAAUCCUGCCAACAGCUUUAAUU